UCAAACAGAGAGCCAAACAGCUUACACGAGAGGAGAUGUGUACCACAUAUGGCAGCAUGGUGGAGACAAUUGUGUGCCCAAAAGAUAAAGGGAAAAACAAGCUUUGAAGUUGAAAGCCUUCACUAUGGAACAUCUUAAAUGGAAAGUCCGCCUCCCCAUGCUGGAAUUCGUUAUUGUCAAGAAACGUCAGAUAUAAAGACUUGUGCCCCCCUAAAUUUCUAUAAUGUCUAAGAACAUGCCAGAGGCGAUAGACUGUCCACAAAAGGGGAUUGUCUUUCAACUCCUGAUCGAAUUCCGCCUCUACACCAUGGAGGAAAGUUAUCAGAUUUUUUAUCUUUAUAAAUUGUGCCUCCAGUUGAGUAUUAGCAUAUGUAUCACUGUCAUUUAACUAGUCUCUCAGAAAUCUCAAUAAAGAUGCAUUAUUAUAAA